rnacentral:misc_RNA from 1 species
AAGUCGUAACAAGGUUUCCGUAGGUGAACCUGCGGAAGGAUCAUUAACACGUAUCCAACGUUAAACAACCCUGUGAACCUUGAACGUGCUCCUGCAGCCCCAUGAAAUCAGCAAAUCCCUGGUAAAUCAUUGUUGACCAGCUUUUGAGUCAGGGACCUCUGCCGAAACGGCUGUUCAGUACCGAGCGCGGUGUAUGUCAUUGAUUGUGUAAGGAUGGCGCAGUAAACGAUUGCUAGAGGCCCACACGGCCGGCAACCGGGUCCCAGGGCUCACGCCCCUUUAUCACCCCACAGUUUCCGACUGGGCAGCCGAUAAUACGGACGCCGUAAAAAACUGAACAACUGUUAACAAUGGAUAUCUUGGUUCUC